GCACAGUGAUGGUACUAUUUUUUGCCAACAGCAGUUCACCUAGUGAAUGUUGAUAGUGUUGGGUCUGAGUGA
ensembl:snoRNA